GUAAUGAUCGAUGGUUUUAAAACGUCAGUGGGUACACAAUCUAGGCACACCAGCUCGGCGACAAUAUUUAUCUCAGAUUUGCGGUUUGGCUAUUUAGUCGCACGAUAACAACAUUGUCGAAACAUAUUUUCGGGGAUUUCCGCGCGUCCAAUUACAAAUAAAGUUUCACAGCGCGCGCGGUGAAAAAUUCUGAACCGUCCGUCACGGUGGGUUUUCGAUCGGGCAGAAAAAUUGUUU